AACACUGUUAACCUGCGGUACCUGCGGAGGGAUCAUUAUAGUAUAUGGAAUCUCCAUUCUAUAAACCCACUCUGCGUAUCUUGUAACUGUUGUUUCCAUGGGACUUGGUUCCGCCACACCGGCUUCACGGCUGGUGAGCGCCCAUGGAAGGAGAAACAAAACUCUUCUUUGAAAUGUAGUCAGUCUGAACAAGUUUUUAUAAACGUUAAAACUUUCAACAACGGAUCUCAGAUCGGAAGA
rnacentral:misc_RNA from 1 species